rnacentral:misc_RNA from 1 species
GAUGAAGAACGCAGCGAAAUGCGAUAAGUAAUGCGAAUUGCAGAAUCCGUGAAUCAUCGAAUCUUUGAACGCACAUUGCGCCCGCCAGCAUUCUGGCGGGCAUGCCUGUUCGAGCGUCAUUUCAACCCUCGAGCCCCCCCGGGGGCCUCGGUGUUGGGGGACGGCACACCAGCCGCCCCCGAAAUGCAGUGGCGACCCCGCCGCAGCCUCCCCUGCGUAGUAGCACACACCUCGCACCGGAGCGCGGAGGCGGUCACGCCGUAAAACGCCCAACUUUCUUAGAGUUGACCUCGGAUCAGGUAGGAAUACCCGCUGAACUUAAGCAUAUCAAUAAGCGGAGGA